CUUGGAGUCUUCACUGAUGAGCUGAUGAGUUGAAUCAGGUGUGUUUGAUCAGGGAGACAUCUCAAAUGUGCAGUGUUGGGGUUCUCCAGGACCAGGAUUGGGAGCCACUGCCUUAUGGGACACUUAUGUGUUUAAAGAGAUUUUUAAUAUCUAAUUAUCAAUAUUUCACAUACUGUACAUUGGACAGCUUUCCAUGACCUCUUGUGAGAUCUCGGCAAAAAGUCUGACGAUUUAUUCCAAAACAUGAUGCAUGAUGGGAUACACUAAGCUUUGUAUAGCGCUCCAGAGCAGUAUUGGAGAGGUUUAGUGUGUGUUAAGGACGCUGUGCUUUGGCAUUAUUAAGACCGGGGACAGUCUUGUGCACACACUGUCACGUACACACACUCUCAAGUGGCCAAGACUGCAAGUGUGGGUAUCUGGACAGGGUCAAAGUCUUAAAAAUGAUCCCUAAACACAUCACAGUCUUAAUAAUCCAGUUUAACACUUGUAUGAUAUUGUACAAGCCCCAGGACUGUCUCAUCUGACACUAUCAAAGAAUUCAUAUGACUAUAGCUUGUUAUUAAUUACUUGCUUUCAAUAAUGGAUUCAUUUAACAUUUAAUUAUACAGCAUCUUUACAGAGGUGUAAUGUACAAGCUGCACGUAAUUAAUAAUAUGUCCUUCCUUCUGUCUUACAGGAUUUUUUCCAGAUAAUGCUGUUCUUCUUUUUCAGGUCUAAAAUAUCGAGCUCAACAGCUAUUUUAAGAGCCAACCCUCACAAACCUUCCUAAAACCUAAAAGAGCUAUUACUGAGUCUCAGCGAAUCUUGCCAUGAUCAGCUCUUCCCAGAAGAGAAGGAAGACCAAGGAUAUGAUUUGCUCAGGAUGAGGAAUGAAGACGGCCAUCUUGUGCUCAAACAAACAGAAGUCCUCUGAUGAUCUCAUCAGCCAAAUGAGGGGUUUUGACCAAGUGAUGCUCUUGAAAGGAGUGAAAGAAGAGGAUGUGGUAAAUUGUCUUCAGAGAAAAGCUUCUCAAAAGAUCUUAAAACAGCUUGAAGAAUGGUCUGGGAUCUUAGGACUGAGAGAUCAUCUGGCUGAGAACAAGCUACACCUCAUCAGUGCUGGACAUCAACCACAAACUGUUUCCAGACACGAGAGAAGAAGAUCACGAUGGGGAGAUGAAACCAGUUUAGAUGUGAUGAUGGGAAUCAUUAUUUUCUGAAACAGUAUCACAUGUCUAAUAUGUAUCACAUGAUCUGUAUCACAGUUGACUGGAUGGGACUGUGUGACUUUUAAGGACAUUUCAUCACUCAUCUGUGUGAACUGAUUUAUAUAUGAGGUUAAUGUAUCUUUGAUGAUAAUUAUUUUCAUUGAAUCUUAUUUGUCUUGAUGCUACUUUAUCAAGUUUAUAGUCUAUGCUUCAAUAAAAUGAAAAUGGUGAAUAUUGUGUUCUGAAGAUUCUUGGUAAAUACAUCAUUUUACUAGGUAGGCUCAUAUGUGUUUAUUUUAGACUUGGAAAAACGACAUAUUAAUUAUUGGGAUUAUUUUUUUAUUUAAGACAUGAACAUUUUUGAUCGGAUUAAUAACAUCUGGGACAUCAGUACACCAGAAAGUAAUUUUUUUAUAUUUUAGUAACAAAUAUGCACAUUUUUUGUGAAAUACAGGGAGUUACAAGAUUAAUUAUUCUGCAUUACAAGAUGGUGCCAUGGGCUUUAUUGUUACAAGCACUUGACGGAUAACUGAGAAUGUAGCAGGAAUGAUCAACGUGGAUCUUGUACUGCAUUAAAACCAAGAGCACGCACAUUACUGAUGUCCAGCACAUGAGGAGCAAGAUACGGGG